AUCAUUUGUUAUAUUGUUCGUGUUGUUAUAUAUAGCAGUAGCAGUAAGUGUGACAGAUUGAUGGUUAUACCUGCAGAAAUAAGGAGUUUUGAUGUUGCUAAAGAAUCUCAUGGAGGACAAGCAGCUGAAUUUGGAUCAACCGUUUCUGUCAGUAAGACGAGCCUCUCCAACAGUGGCUUCUGGGAGUGAUGAGACAAAGAAGACUGAAUA
rnacentral:misc_RNA from 1 species